rnacentral:lncRNA from 1 species
CAUUGACUGGAUCACAGCCUGAAUUACACCACCAAACAAAAAUAAAUUCCUUCAACACACAUCGCCUGUGAAACAAAAUACAGGAAAUUAGCCACAACUAAGAAACAAGUACAGAGCUUUGGCCCCAUGGAAGCACCCAGAAACAAAGUCAAUCAACUAUACACAAUAUACACCACAGUCAACCCUCACGGGAAAAACAGAAUAUAUAAACAAAAAGCCCUAUGCAGAUGACAGCAACUUCAAAAAGAUAAAGAAACACCAGCCUUCUCCAAUGAGAAAGAAUCAGCACAAGAACUCUGGCAAUUCAUAAAGUCAGAGUAUUUCCUUGCCUCCAGAGGUUUACACUAGCUCCCCAGCAAUGGAUUGAAAUGUCUGAAAUGACAGAUAUAGAUAGAGUUCAGAAUCUGGAUGACAAGGAAGAUUCUGCAGACCAGGAGAUUCCCUCAGGUGCCUACACCACAAGGGCCCUGGGUUUCAAGCACAAAACUGAGCAGCCAUUUGGGCAGACACCGAGCUAGCUGCAGGAGUUUGUCUUUCCAUAACCCAGUGGCGCCUGGAAUGCCAGUGAGACAGAACCAUUCACUCCUCUGGAAAGGGGGCUGAAGCCAGGGAGCCAAGUGGUCUAGCUCAGCCUGUGGGCGCAGCUUCAGCAGACUUAAACAUUCCUGCCUACUGGCUCUGAAGAGACCAGCAGAUCUCCCAGAACAGCACUCAAGCUCUGCUAAGGGACAGACAGCCUCCUCAAGUGAGUCCCUGACCCCUGUGCCUCCUGACUGGGAGAUACCCCCCAGCAGGGGUCGACAGACACUUCAUACAGGAGAGCUCUGGCUGGCAUCUGGCAGGUGCCUCUCUGGGAUGAAGCUUCCAGAGGAAGGAACAGGAAGCAAUCUUUGCUGUUCUGCAGCCUCUGCUGGUGAUACCCAGACAAUCAGGGUCUGGAGUGGACCUCCAGCAAACUCCAGCAGACCUGCAGAAGAGGGACCUGACUGUUAGAAGGAAAACUAACAAACAGAAUGCAAUAGCAUCAACAUCAACACAAAGGACAACCACACAGAAACCCCAUGCGAAGGUCACCAACAUCAAAGACAAAAGGUAGAUGAAUCCACAAAGAUGAGGAAAAACCAGCACAAAAAGGCUGAAAAUUCCAAAAACCAGAAUGCCUCUUCUCCUCCAAAGGAUCACAACUCCUCACCAGCCAGGGCACAAAACUGGAAAAAGAAGGAGUAUGACAAAUUGACAGAAGUAGGCUCCAGAAGGUGAGUGAUAACAAACUCCUCCAAGCUAUAGGAGCAUGUUCUAACCCAAUCCAAGGAAGCUAAGAACCUUGAAAAAAGGUUAGAGGAAUUGCUAACUACAAUAACCAGAGAACAUAAAUGGCCUGAUGGAGCUGAAAAACACAGCACGAGAACUUUGUGAAGCAUACACAAGUAUCAACAGCCAAAUCGAUGAAGUGGAAGAGAGGAUAUCAGAGAUUGAAGAUCAACUUAAUGAAAUAAAGUGUGAAGACAAGAUUAGAGAAAAAAGAAUGAAAAGAAAUAUGGGACUAUGUGAAAAGACCAAAUCUACAUUUGAUUAGUGUACCUGAAAGUGACAGGGAGAAUGGAACCAAGUUGGAAAACACUCUUCAAGAUAUUAUCCAGAAGAACUUCCCCCAACCUAGCAAGACAGGCCAACAUUCAAAUCCAGGAAAUACAGAGAAUACCACAAAAAUACUCCUCGAGAAGAGCAACCCCAAGACCCAUAAUCGUCAGAUUCACCAACGUUUAAACAAGAGAACUUCAUGUCACAAAUCCUGAAAGUUAAAAAUCCCAAGCGACAAAGAAAUCUUAACGUUUCUUCCCAGCACCAACACAGAAUCGUUCAUAAAUCCUAAAUGUUUACUAGAUGAAGAC